rnacentral:lncRNA from 1 species
GCGUGCCCUACUGGCGGUGGAGAGGUUGGGCGGGCCCCAUAGGAUGCCCGCUUUGGAGCCACAGGACCUCAAAAUACGCUCCUUACAACGUGUUUUAUAGAGCGAAGUCUCGCUAUGCCACCCAGGCUGGAGUGCAGUGGCGCCAUCGUAGCUCACCGCAGCCUCGAACACCUGGGCUCAAGCGAUCCUCCCGCCUCAACCUCCCGAGUAGCUGGGACCACAGAGAUUGCCUGUUGGGGAUGAAUCGCUUAGCGAGACCCAGCCAUAGCUGGCUACGCUGAGUUCCGGCCCGGGACCGCGCGGAGAGGCAAGAUCUAUUCCCGACCCUCUCAUCUGGCAGACAGAACCCAGGCUUCAGGAAGAGAAGCGGCUUUCGCAGUUUCACGCUAGGACGGGCUGAGCUGGGAAUCGAUCCCAAAUUCCACAGUCCCAGUCCUCUCCUGGGUCCUGCUCUCCUGACUGCGUCUCAGGCCCAGAGGUGAUGGGGCACUUAGGGUUAGGGAAUGGCAGACCUGGAGAAAAGGGUUCCGCUACUACCCUCGGCUUUGCCAAACUUAACAUUUUGAAAUUCCAUUCCACAAAUGUGUAUUGCGUCUCUGGGAACAAGACAGCGUAAUGAGCAUCGUGAGAAAUCUAAGACGAAUCCCUAAACCGUCGCUGUCUUUAAAGAGAUUACAACCAUGCUAUAAUUACAUACAGAGCUGUAUCUCUAAUAAGGACCCAACCACGGUUUUAUCUGGCUAGUUUUUUUGUUUGUUUUGAGCUCUGGUUAUUUCCCAUAGCCAGGAAAAUCAAAAUAUUAAAAACAAGGGAUAGGGGAAGGCCAGAAGAAAAAAACAACGCUGCAACUACCUAAAGCACUGUGUUAAUUAACCGCAUUUGCUGAGUGCCUUCUGUAGGUAAAAGCACCAUACUAUGGAGGGAAACAGAAAAUAAGUAUUAAAAGAUAUGGUUUCCACUUC